AUUGAACGCUGGCGGAAUGCUUUACACAUGCAAGUCGAACGGCAGCACGGGAGCUUGCUCCUGGUGGCGAGUGGCGAACGGGUGAGUAAUACAUCGGAACGUGCCCAUUGGUGGGGGAUAACACAUCGAAAGAUGUGCUAAUACCGCAUACGACCUGAGGGUGAAAGGGGGGGAUCGCAAGACCUCUCGCCGUUGGAGCGGCCGAUGUCGGAUUAGCUAGUUGGUGGGGUAAAGGCCUACCAAGGCGACGAUCCGUAGUUGGUCUGAGAGGAUGAUCAGCCACAAUGGGACUGAGACACGGCCCAGACUCCUACGGGAGGCAGCAGUGGGGAAUUUUGGACAAUGGAGGCAACCCUGAUCCAGCCAUUCCGCGUGAGUGAAGAAGGACUUCGGGUUGUAAAGCUCUUUCGGCAGGAACGAAACUGCGGGUCCUAAUACGAUCUGCUAAUGACGGUACCUGAAGAAGAAGCACCGGCUAACUACGUGCCAGCCGCCGCGGUAAGAC
rnacentral:rRNA from 1 species